rnacentral:snRNA from 13 species
AUUGUUUCUUGGCCUUUUGGCUAAGAUCAAGUGUAAUAUCUGUUCUUUUCAGUUUUAAGACUGGUUGAGAGUCAGUUUUUUUUUGUUUUUUUUUUUUUUUUGAGACAGGGUCUUGCUGUGUCACCAGGUUGGAGUGCAGCAGUGCCAUCUCGGCUUACUGUAA